rnacentral:pre_miRNA from 1 species
AUAAUAUUCCCUCCAUCUGGAAUUACUUGUCAUCAAAAUGGAUGUGUCUAGAACUAAAAUACAUCUAGAUACAUCCAUUUCAAUGACAAGUAUUUUCGGACGGAAGGAGUAGUAG